rnacentral:rRNA from 1 species
GGGCGUUAAGUUGCAGGGUAUAGACCCGAAACCCGGUGAUCUAGCCAUGGGCAGGUUGAAGGUUGGGUAACACUAACUGGAGGACCGAACCGACUAAUGUUGAAAAAUUAGCGGAUGACCUGUGGCUGGGGGUGAAAGGCCAAUCAAACCGGGAGAUAGCUGGUUCUCCCCGAAAGCUAUUUAGGUAGCGCCUCGUGAAUUCAUCUCCGGGGGUAGAGCACUGUUUCGGCUAGGGGGCCAUCCCGGCUUACCAACCCGAUGCAAACUGCGAAUACCGGAGAAUGUUAUCACGGGAGACACACGGCGGGUGCUAACGUCCGUCGUGAAGAGGGAAACAACCCAGACCGCCAGCUAAGGUCCCAAAGUCAUGGUUAAGUGGGAAACGAUGUGGGAAGGCCCAGACAGCCAGGAUGUUGGCUUAGAAGCAGCCAUCAUUUAAAGAAAGCGUAAUAGCUCACUGGUCGAGUCGGCCUGCGCGGAAGAUGUAACGGGGCUAAACCAUGCACCGAAGCUGCGGCAGCGACACUGUGUGUUGUUGGGUAGGGGAGCGUUCUGUAAGCCUGUGAAGGUGGCCUGUGAGGGUUGCUGGAGGUAUCAGAAGUGCGAAUGCUGACAUAAGUAACGAUAAAGCGGGUGAAAAGCCCGCUCGCCGGAAGACCAA